rnacentral:rRNA from 1 species
CAAUAGCGUAUAUUAAAGUUGUUGCAGUUAAAAAGCUCGUAGUUGGAUUUCUGGUGGGAGCGAUCGGUCUGGCGCUUAGCGCGAGUACUUGCAUCGUCUCCGGCCAUCCUUGGGGAGAGUCUGUCUGGCAUUAGGUUGUCGGGCAGAGGAUCUUCAUCGUUUACUGUGAAAAAAUUAGAGUGUUCAAAGCAGGCUUAUGCCGUUGAAUAUAUUAGCAUGGAAUAAUAAGAUAGGACUUUGGUACUAUUUUGUUGGUUUGCGCACCGAAGUAAUGAUUAAUAGGGACAGUUGGGGGUAUUCGUAUUCCGUUGUCAGAGGUGAAAUUCUUGGAUUUACGGAAGACGAACUACUGCGAAAGCAUUUACCAAGGAUGUUUUCAUUAA